AGAGUUUGAUCCUGGCUCAGGAUCAACGCUGGCGGCGUGCCUAACGCAUGCAAGUCGGACGGCUCGCGCUUUCGGGUGCGGGUAGUGGCGGACGGGUGCGGAGCGCGUGACCGACCUGCCCUCCGGCGGGGGAUACCGGCGGGAAACCGCCGACAAGACCGCGUACACUCGGCGGCCGGUGGGGUCGUCGAGGAAAACCAUCUUUCGGGGUGGUGCCGGGGGAGGGGGUUGCGUCCGAUUAGCUGGUUGGUGCGGUGACGGCGCACCAAGGCGACGAUCGGUCGCGGGUCUGAGAGGACGGCCCGCCACAGGGGGACUGAGACACGGCCCCCACACCUGCGGGUGGCAGCAGCGAGGGAUUUUCGGCAAUGGGCGCAAGCCUGACCGAGCAACGCCGCGUGCGGGACGAGGCCCCUCGGGGUGUAAACCGCUUUGGUCCGAGAGAAAGGGCAACUUGAUCGAUCGGAGAAACAAGGACGGGCUAAGUUCGUGCCAGCAGCCGCGGUAAU
rnacentral:rRNA from 1 species